UUCCCAUUAAAUUCAAAUAAAUCACAUACUAGUUUAUUUCUCCAAUUUUGUAUCCAUACCUGGUUGAUUGCCUCAACCUUAUGUGCCAUACUAAAAAAUUCUAUGUACUUGAUGACGAUCAUGCCGCAAUCACCCAUACAAUUAAACAAUGUUGUAUUAGCACAUCGAAAAUUAGUUAGUUACUAAGAUGUAAAUGACAAAAAGAAAAUUACAAAUACUUACGAUAUUUGCUGCCUCGCCGUCGUCGUGUUCCGCAUGGUGGCGAAUCUGUCAUGUACAAUGAUGUUCACUUGUCUAGCCAUCAUGGGAACGAUCACAAACACCGACUCUAGAUUUUGCUCGAGCUGGCCUUGUGUCAGGCAUGAAUGAUCGAGGUCGAACACAUACAUCGUGGAGUCGGCGAAUACGAUUUUCACUGCAAUGUAGUGAUGAUUCACACAUACUGGUAUGUACAUAUGCGUACAGCCAUCCCAUGGCUUUCCACCGACACUCGGUCACAUCCCUACGACCCAUUCCAUCAUAUAUUCCGGCACCAUGUACUCGCUACCCAUAGCCUGAAACGAGUGGUACUCAAUGUCAACGGCACGGAUGAGCUCGGUGUUCAAUAUGAGUCUGCCAGAAAUGUUGAACGAUUUUGGAUGUCUUUCAGCACGAUCUCGUAGCAAAUCCAUGCUCAAGUCGAUGUGCUAUAUCAAGAAACACCAAUAAA
rnacentral:lncRNA from 1 species